CCUCCAUUCGGUAACUAAAGUGACUUUCCUAACAUGCAGGUCUGAUCAUGUCACCCUCUACUCAAUAACCUCCAGUGAUUCCCUCUCACCUCAGGGGCUUUGAAUGUCGAACAGAAAAUUUCGCAUUUGAUCCUGACUACAAUCAAGAGGAGUUGGGGAAGGCUUCUUGAAGAAGGGGUACUAAGAGGACAGAGAGGACAGCUCUAGGAGGGAGGCAGUGUCAUGUUAUGGGAAGAGCCCUGAAAUGGGAAAUCAGAGGCCUAUCCACUGUACCACCUAGCUGCCUUUGCUGCUGCUGC